AAUAGGUACUAGUAAUAACCGAUUAAAUGCCUAUUAUCUUAGGCACGGGCUGGUUCCGGUUCAAACAGGCUUGAAAUUGUUAGUUCACCCUUCACCAAAUGAGUGAAUCGAAACUAAAUUGGAUGAUUCUGGUUUAAUUCAUUCACGGUUUGAGUCAAAUACAAGUUUUAUGGAUUUCGAUUGUGAAUCAGUCCAUGGUCGAGUCUAAAACAAAAUGUUUGAUUCGGAUUUAAUUUCUCUAAAAUCUUCUAUUUUAAAAUUAGGAAGAUUUCAUAAAACUUAAUUGGAAAGAUUUUUUCGCCUUAUCUGUGCAUAUUUUUAUUUGGAUUAAUAAUUGUUACGUUUAUGAGUUUGACUUGAAUAUCAUAAACACUGACAAUGAAUAGGGUACAUAUGGAGACUUGGUG
rnacentral:misc_RNA from 1 species